rnacentral:lncRNA from 1 species
GUAGUCGCCGCCACCAUCCCCACCACGCCUGCCAAAAUGAAGUAAGGCCGCCUGCGAUAUCCCAUAACCGGAAACACAUCAGUCAUGAGGCCCCAAAUGGGCUUCAUGACCCAUGGAAUGUGGUACAAGCCUAUGAACACUUGGACCUUUGAUGGUUGUAUCUUUUGAACAUCUUUCCAGUAAUAAUCGGUUACAACUUUAAAGAAAGAGCCCGAAAAGCCCUGGCUAAGGCCGUAAAUGAGGAAGAUACCGAGGAUGAACGAUGGGUUGAGCUCGGUUGAUAGCAUAUUUAGCCAUUGGAAUGGUUGGAGUAUGAGUGAUGUUAUUGAGUUGGAUUGUUUUUUGGCGGGUUCCGGUGGCGGUGGUGGUGGUGGGUGGUGGUGAGUGGUGGCUGGAGGUGGGAUGAGGCUUUGGGUCUCUAAGCUGGACAUGUUGAGAUCUGAUCUACCUGCAAUUUACCCUUGAUCUUAAACCACCACCCGUCAUCGAAUCAUUUGGGUGGUUUGUUUUUCCGUUCAAUCAUCCUCUCCGCCUUUCUCUUCUUCACACGCUAUUGUCAUCCUUAUCUUCCUCAAAAUGAUGUUUGAAAGAACCAAAAAUGAUCUGAAAUGAAAGAAAUCGGAAAUGUAUAUAGGAUGAAACUCAAUUUUGUUUGACAAAUGAACUCAUCAACUUAUAUACGUCUUGUUGUUGGUUUACUUUUAUUGAUAUUUGCCUUGCAUGUUUCAUA